AUGGAGCCGACCUACAGUGCAAUAGCCAGCGCCAUUGGCUCGGCACCUUCUCAUUGGCGCGGCUCACUGCAUGCGCCUUCGACAUCACCUAUUGGAGUUCAUCGGUCCACUUAUGAACAUUGCAUCCUGCGCGACGAAGAGGGCACCCGCACAGUUCUUGAGCAGAAGGACACCCGUGAGAGCAAUGAGACGGCGAUGGAGAGGACAUCUAUUAGAGAUGCUCUAAACAUCAAUUCUGCAAUUAAUUGGGAUGAAGUGGAUGAUCAACACGAUGGUCAUGCCUUGAACAUGCACUACAUGUAUGUAUUCGAGAAGAGUGCCAUAUGCGAAUACGACACACAACCACCAGGAGCAAGCACAAUGGAGCAAGCGAGCAGCGCGCAGGCCGAGCUUAGCCUCGAGCUCACCCUGGCCGCCGACGUGGGUGUGGUGCCGGCGGAGGCAGGCUUUUUCCUCUGCGUCUACUGCUACCGCAGGUUCCGCACCUCGCAGGCACUCGGCAGCCACCAAAACGCGCACAAGCAAGAGCGCGCCGUCGCUAAGCGACGCCGGGAUGCCGCCGCCGCGAUGCGCCCCUCCCCUGCCAGGAAGGCUGCUGCUCGAAUGCCGGAGGAGCCUGCUGGUGGUGUCAUGGCGCACAAGGACGGCAGCAGCUGCCGGGAGAGCGACCCCGAGCUGGACUUGUCUCUCCGUCUGUAA
rnacentral:rRNA from 1 species